rnacentral:rRNA from 1 species
AGAGUUUGAUCAUGGCUCAGGAUGAACGCUAGCGGCAGGCCUAAUACAUGCAAGUCGAGGGGCAGCACGAAUAGCAAUAUUUGGUGGCGACCGGCGCACGGGUGAGUAACACGUAGGUAACCUGCCCUUCACUGGGGAAUAACCUGUCGAAAGACGGGCUAAUUCCGCAUACGUCCAAGACUGCUCCGGCAGAUUUGGGGAAAGGCGGCCCGCAAGGGCUGUCGGUGAUGGAUGGGCCUGCGUACCAUUAGCUAGUUGGUGAGGUAACGGCUCACCAAGGCAACGAUGGCUAGGGGUUCUGAGAGGAUUAUCCCCCACACUGGUACUGAGACACGGACCAGACUCCUACGGGAGGCAGCAGUAAGGAAUAUUGGUCAAUGGACGCAAGUACUGAACCAGCCAUGCCGCGUGCAGGAUGACGGCCUUAUGGGUUGUAAACUGCUUUUGUCAGGGAAUAAACCCUUGUUUGCGAACAAGGCUGAAGGUACCUGAAGAAUAAGCAUCGGCUAACUCCGU